GGCACAUCUGUUAAAAGAUAA
rnacentral:snRNA from 1 species